rnacentral:rRNA from 1 species
UACGUAGGGUGCAAGUGUUAAUCGGAAUUACUGGGCGUAAAGCGUGCGCAGGCGGCUUUGCAAGACAGAUGUGAAAUCCCCGGGCUUAACCUGGGAACUGCAUUUGUGACUGCAUGGCUGGAGUGCGGCAGAGGGGGAUGGAAUUCCGCGUGUAGCAGUGAAAUGCGUAGAUAUGCGGAGGAACACCGAUGGCGAAGGCAGCCCCCUGGGAUGACACUGACGCUCAUGCACGAAAGCGUGGGAGCAAACAGG